GAUGAACGCUGGCGGCGUGCCUAAUACAUGCAAGUCGAGCGAACGGACGAGAAGCUUGCUUCUCUGAUGUUAGCGGCGGACGGGUGAGUAACACGUGGAUAACCUACCUAUAAGACUGGGAUAACUUCGGGAAACCGGAGCUAAUACCGGAUAAUAUUUUGAACCGCAUGGUUCAAAAGUGAAAGACGGUCUUGCUGUCACUUAUAGAUUGAUCCGCGCUGCAUUAGCUAGUUGGUAAGGUAACGGCUUACCAAGGCAACGAUGCAUAGCCGACCUGAGAGGGUGAUCGGCCACACUGGAACUGAGACACGGUCCAGACUCCUACGGGAGGCAGCAGUAGGGAAUCUUCAGCAAUGGGCGAAAGCCUGACGGAGCAACGCCGCGUGAGUGAUGAAGGUCUUCGGAUCGUAAAACUCUGUUAUUAGGGAAGAACAUAUGUGUAAGUAACUGUGCACAUCUUGACGGUACCUAAUCAGAAAGCCACGGCUAACUACGUG
rnacentral:rRNA from 1 species